ACUCCACCUACAACCACAUCGUAGUAGGCGAGUUCAACAGCCAAUUGGUCAUAUUUUUCAGCUCUAAACCAAUUCCCAUAAUGAAUUUCUUCAAAAUAGUAUUUAUGGUCGCUGCCGGUGUUGCCGCUUUGGGCAGCUAUUAUGUAGAAGCUGCUAUCAGUGCAACUGCCAAUCCCGAAGCCAACUAUGUAGGAGCCACAAGCAAAUACAACUAAUAAAAAAAUAAAUGCUUUUCUUGUAAAUUGUCGAAACUUAAUGUUGAGAAAAUAAAAUUCAUCUUAAAAAAA